rnacentral:tRNA from 1 species
UACAUUAAGGUGUAUGAUGCACAUUAAUUUUUGAAAUUAAAAGUGGUAGUUUGAUUCUACUUUAUGUAA